UGGGGAAUAUUGGACAAUGGGCGCAAGCCUGAUCCAGCAAUGCCGCGUGUGUGAAGAAGGCCUUCGGGUUGUAAAGCACUUUUAUCAGGAGCGAAACGCUGUCGGCUAAUACCCGGCGGAACUGACGGUACCUGAGGAAUAAGCACCGGCUAACUUCGUGCCAGCAGCCGCGGUAAUACGAAGGGUGCAAGCGUUAAUCGGAAUUACUGGGCGUAAAGCGUGCGUAGGCGGUUUCUUAAGUCUGCUGUGAAAUCCCCGGGCUCAACCUGGGAAUGGCAGUGGAUACUGGGAGGCUAGAGUGUGUCAGAGGGUGGUGGAAUUCCCGGUGUAGCGGUGAAGUGCGCAGAGAUCGGGAGGAACAUCAGUGGCGAAGGCGGCCACCUGGGACAACACUGACGCUGAGGCACGAAAGCGUGGGGAGCAAACAGGAUUAAAUACCCUGGUAGUCCACGCCUAAACGAUGCGAACUGGAUGUUGGUCUCAACUCGGAGAUCAGUGUCGAAGCUAACGCGUUAAGUUCGCCGCCUGGGGAGUACGGUCGCAAGACUGAAACUCAAAGGAAUUGACGGGGUCAUAGCUGUUUCC
rnacentral:rRNA from 1 species